GGGUUGUGAGGUUAAGCGACUAAGCGUACACGGUGGAUGCCCUGGCAGUCAGAGGCGAUGAAGGACGUGCUAAUCUGCGAUAAGCGUCGGUAAGGUGAUAUGAACCGUUAUAACCGGCGAUUUCCGAAUGGGGAAACCCAGUGUGUUUCGACACACUAUCAUUAACUGAAUCCAUAGGUUAAUGAGGCGAACCGGGGGAACUGAAACAUCUAAGUACCCCGAGGAAAAGAAAUCAACCGAGAUUCCCCCAGUAGCGGCGAGCGAACGGGGAGGAGCCCAGAGCCUGAAUCAGUGUGUGUGUUAGUGGAAGCGUCUGGAAAGGCGCGCGAUACAGGGUGACAGCCCCGUACACAAAAAUGCACAUAUUGUGAGCUCGAUGAGUAGGGCGGGACACGUGGUAUCCUGUCUGAAUAUGGGGGGACCAUCCUCCAAGGCUAAAUACUCCUGACUGACCGAUAGUGAACCAGUACCGUGAGGGAAAGGCGAAAAGAACCCCGGCGAGGGGAGUGAAAAAGAACCUGAAACCGUGUACGUACAAGCAGUGGGAGCCUCUUUUAUGGGGUGACUGCGUACCUUUUGUAUAAUGGGUCAGCGACUUAUAUUCUGUAGCAAGGUUAACCGAAUAGGGGAGCCGAAGGGAAACCGAGUCUUAACUGGGCGUUAAGUUGCAGGGUAUAGACCCGAAACCCGGUGAUCUAGCCAUGGGCAGGUUGAAGGUUGGGUAACACUAACUGGAGGACCGAACCGACUAAUGUUGAAAAAUUAGCGGAUGACUUGUGGCUGGGGGUGAAAGGCCAAUCAAACCGGGAGAUAGCUGGUUCUCCCCGAAAGCUAUUUAGGUAGCGCCUCGUGAAUUCAUCUCCGGGGGUAGAGCACUGUUUCGGCAAGGGGGUCAUCCCGACUUACCAACCCGAUGCAAACUGCGAAUACCGGAGAAUGUUAUCACGGGAGACACACGGCGGGUGCUAACGUCCGUCGUGAAGAGGGAAACAACCCAGACCGCCAGCUAAGGUCCCAAAGUCAUGGUUAAGUGGGAAACGAUGUGGGAAGGCCCAGACAGCCAGGAUGUUGGCUUAGAAGCAGCCAUCAUUUAAAGAAAGCGUAAUAGCUCACUGGUCGAGUCGGCCUGCGCGGAAGAUGUAACGGGGCUAAACCAUGCACCGAAGCUGCGGCAGCGACACUAUGUGUUGUUGGGUAGGGGAGCGUUCUGUAAGCCUGUGAAGGUGUACUGUGAGGUAUGCUGGAGGUAUCAGAAGUGCGAAUGCUGACAUAAGUAACGAUAAAGCGGGUGAAAAGCCCGCUCGCCGGAAGACCAAGGGUUCCUGUCCAACGUUAAUCGGGGCAGGGUGAGUCGACCCCUAAGGCGAGGCCGAAAGGCGUAGUCGAUGGGAAACAGGUUAAUAUUCCUGUACUUGGUGUUACUGCGAAGGGGGGACGGAGAAGGCUAUGUUGGCCGGGCGACGGUUGUCCCGGUUUAAGCGUGUAGGCUGGUUUUCCAGGCAAAUCCGGAAAAUCAAGGCUGAGGCGUGAUGACGAGGCACUACGGUGCUGAAGCAACAAAUGCCCUGCUUCCAGGAAAAGCCUCUAAGCAUCAGGUAACAUCAAAUCGUACCCCAAACCGACACAGGUGGUCAGGUAGAGAAUACCAAGGCGCUUGAGAGAACUCGGGUGAAGGAACUAGGCAAAAUGGUGCCGUAACUUCGGGAGAAGGCACGCUGAUAUGUAGGUGAAGUCCCUCGCGGAUGGAGCUGAAAUCAGUCGAAGAUACCAGCUGGCUGCAACUGUUUAUUAAAAACACAGCACUGUGCAAACACGAAAGUGGACGUAUACGGUGUGACGCCUGCCCGGUGCCGGAAGGUUAAUUGAUGGGGUCAGCGCAAGCGAAGCUCUUGAUCGAAGCCCCGGUAAACGGCGGCCGUAACUAUAACGGUCCUAAGGUAGCGAAAUUCCUUGUCGGGUAAGUUCCGACCUGCACGAAUGGCGUAAUGAUGGCCAGGCUGUCUCCACCCGAGACUCAGUGAAAUUGAACUCGCUGUGAAGAUGCAGUGUACCCGCGGCAAGACGGAAAGACCCCGUGAACCUUUACUAUAGCUUGACACUGAACAUUGAGCCUUGAUGUGUAGGAUAGGUGGGAGGCUUAGAAGUGUGGACGCCAGUCUGCAUGGAGCCGACCUUGAAAUACCACCCUUUAAUGUUUGAUGUUCUAACGUGGACCCGUGAUCCGGGUUGCGGACAGUGUCUGGUGGGUAGUUUGACUGGGGCGGUCUCCUCCUAAAGAGUAACGGAGGAGCACGAAGGUUGGCUAAUCCUGGUCGGACAUCAGGAGGUUAGUGCAAUGGCAUAAGCCAGCUUGACUGCGAGCGUGACGGCGCGAGCAGGUGCGAAAGCAGGUCAUAGUGAUCCGGUGGUUCUGAAUGGAAGGGCCAUCGCUCAACGGAUAAAAGGUACUCCGGGGAUAACAGGCUGAUACCGCCCAAGAGUUCAUAUCGACGGCGGUGUUUGGCACCUCGAUGUCGGCUCAUCACAUCCUGGGGCUGAAGUAGGUCCCAAGGGUAUGGCUGUUCGCCAUUUAAAGUGGUACGCGAGCUGGGUUUAGAACGUCGUGAGACAGUUCGGUCCCUAUCUGCCGUGGGCGCUGGAGAACUGAGGGGGGCUGCUCCUAGUACGAGAGGACCGGAGUGGACGCAUCACUGGUGUUCGGGUUGUCAUGCCAAUGGCACUGCCCGGUAGCUAAAUGCGGAAGAGAUAAGUGCUGAAAGCAUCUAAGCACGAAACUUGCCCCGAGAUGAGUUCUCCCUGACUCCUUGAGAGUCCUGAAGGAACGUUGAAGACGACGACGUUGAUAGGCCGGGUGUGUAAGCGCAGCGAUGCGUUGAGCUAACCGGUACUAAUGAACCGUGAGGCUUAACCUUACAACGCCGAAG
rnacentral:rRNA from 1 species